CCAGACUCCUACGGGAGGCAGCAGUGGGGAAUCUUCCGCAAUGGGCGAAAGCCUGACGGAGUAACGCCGCGUGAGUGAAGAAGGUCUUCGGAUCGUAAAGCUCUGUUGUCGGGGACGAAAGGGUAGACGAGGUAAUGCGUUUACUAAGACGGUACCCGACGAGGAAGCCACGGCUAACUACGUGCCAGCAGCCGCGGUAAUACGUAGGCGGCAAGCGUUGUCCGGAAUUAUUGGGCGUAAAGGGAGCGCAGGUGGGACGGUAAGUCCGUCUUAAAAGGCAGGGGCUCAGCCCCUGUAAGGGAUGGAAACUAUCGAUCUUGAGUGCCGGAGAGGAAAGCGGAAUUCCCAGUGUAGCGGUGAAAUGCGUAGAUAUUGGGAGGAACACCAGUGGCGAAGGCGGCUUUCUGGACUGCAACUGACGCUGAGGCUCGAAAGCCAGGGGAGCGAACGGGAUUAGAUACCCCGGUAGUCCUGGCCGUAAACGAUGGAUACUAGGUGUGGGAGGUAUCGACCCCUACCGUGCCGGAGUUAACGCAAUAAGUAUCCCGCCUGGGGAGUACGGCCGCAAGGCUGAAACUCAAAGGAAUUGACGGGGGCCCGCACAAG
rnacentral:rRNA from 1 species